rnacentral:rRNA from 1 species
GGGGGGGGCGGGGGGUGGGGCGGGCGGGGGCGAGUCGGGGGGCGGCGCAGGACGAGGUUGCUCUUACGGGUGGCGAGUGGCGGACGGGUGGGGGAGACAUCGGAAUCUACUUUUUCGUGGGGGAUAACGUAGGGAGACUUACGCUCGUACCUCAUACGACCUACGGGUGACAGCCGUGGAUCUUCGGACCUUGCGCGAUUGAAUGGGCCGAUGUCGGAUUAGCUAGUUGGCGGGGUAAAGGCCCACCAAGGCGACGAUCCGUAGCUGGUCUGAGAGGAUGAUCAGCCACACUGGAACUGAGACACGGUCCAGACUCCUACGGGAGGCAGCAGUGGGGAAUAUUGGACAAUGGGCGCAAGCCUGAUCCAGCCAUACCGCGUGGGUGAAGAAGGCCUUCGGGUUGUAAAGCCCUUUUGUUGGGAAAGAAAAGCAGCAGGUUAAUACCCCGCUGUUCUGACGGUACCCAAAGAAUAAGCACCGGCUAACUUCGUG